CUGGCGGCGUGCCUAAUACAUGCAAGUCGAGCGGACCCUUCGGGGUUAGCGGCGGACGGGUGAGUAACACGUGGGUAAUCUGCCCAACUGACUGGAAUAACGCCUGGAAACGGGUGCUAAUGCCGGAUAGGCAACUGGUAGGCAUCUACCGGUUGGGAAAGGUGCAACUGCACCGCAGAUGGAGGAGCCCGCGGCGCAUUAGCUAGUUGGUGGGGUAACGGCUCACCAAGGCAACGAUGCGUAGCCGACCUGAGAGGGUGACCGGCCACACUGGGACUGAGACACGGCCCAGACUCCUACGGGAGGCAGCAGUAGGGAAUCUUCCACAAUGGGCGCAAGCCUGAUGGAGCAACGCCGCGUGAGUGAAGACGGCCUUCGGGUUGUAAAGCUCAGUCACUCGGGAAGAGCGGACGAGGGAGUGGAAAGCCCUCGUCGAGACGGUACCGAGAGAGGAAGCCCCGGCUAACUACGUG
rnacentral:rRNA from 1 species